AAUCAACGCUGGCGGCGCGCUUAACACAUGCAAGUCGCACGAGAAAGGGAGCAAUCCUGAGUAAAGUGGCGUACGGGUGAGUAACACGUGGAUCAUCUACCUUUUAGUGGGGAAUACCUCCGGGAAACUGGAGACAAUACCGCAUAAGCUCGAAAGAGGAAAGCAGCAAUGCGCUGAAAGAGGAGUCCGCGGUCGAUUAGCUAGAUGGUGAGGUAAUGGCUCACCAUGGCGAAGAUCGAUAGCCGGCCUGAGAGGGCUCACGGCCACACUGGCACUGAAACACGGGCCAGACUCCUACGGGAGGCAGCAGUGGGGAAUCUUGCACAAUGGAGGAAACUCUGAUGCAGCGACGCCGCGUGAGUGAUGAAGCCCUUCGGGGUGUAAAGCUCUUUCGACAGGAACGAUAAUGACGGUACCUGAAGAAGAAGCUGCGGCUAACUACGUGCCAGCAGCCGCGGUAAUACGUAGGCAGCAAGCGUUGUUCGGAAUUACUGGGCGUAAAGAGUGUGUAGGCGGUGCUCUAAGUUUGGUGUGAAAUCUCCCGGCUCAACCGGGAGGCUGCAUCGAAUACUGGAGUGCUAGAGGGUGGGAGAGGUAAGCGGAAUUCCUGGUGUAGCGGUGAAAUGCGUAGAUAUCAGGAGGAACACCUGUGGUGUAGACAGCUUACUG
rnacentral:rRNA from 1 species